CGAGUCUUAACUGGGCGUAUAGUUGCUAGCAUUAGACCCGAAACCGAGUGAUCUAGCCAUGGGCAGGUUGAAGGUUGAGUAACAUCAACUGGAGGACCGAACCGACUAAUGUUGAAAAAUUAGCGGAUGACUUGUGGCUAGGGGUGAAAGGCCAAUCAAACUCGGAGAUAGCUGGUUCUCCCCGAAAGCUAUUUAGGUAGCGCCUCGGACGAAUACUACUGGGGGUAGAGCACUGUUAAGGCUAGGGGGUCAUCCCGACUUACCAACCCUUUGCAAACUCCGAAUACCAGUAAGUACUAUCCGGGAGACACACGGCGGGUGCUAACGUCCGUCGUGGAGAGGGAAACAACCCAGACCGCCAGCUAAGGUCCCAAAUUACAGCUAAGUGGGAAACGAUGUGGGAAGGCUUAGACAGCUAGGAUGUUGGCUUAGAAGCAGCCAUCAUUUAAAGAAAGCGUAAUAGCUCACUAGUCGAGUCGGCCUGCGCGGAAGAUGUAACGGGGCUAAGUUGUAAACCGAAGCUGCGGCAAUGUUCUUGGAACAUUGGGUAGGGGAGCGUUCUGUAAGCCGUUGAAGGUGUGUUGUAAAGCAUGCUGGAGGUAUCAGAAGUGCGAAUGCUGACAUGAGUAACGACAAGGGGGGUGAAAAACCUCCCCGCCGGAAGACCAAGGGUUCCUGUCCAACGUUAAUCGGGGCAGGGUGAGUCGACCCCUAAGGCGAGGCCGAAAGGCGUAGUCGAUGGGAAACGGGUUAAUAUUCCCGUACUCGAUCAAAUUGCGAUGGGGGGACGGAGAAGGCUAGGUGGGCCUGGCGACGGUUGUCCAGGUUCAAGUGCGUAGGCU
rnacentral:rRNA from 1 species